GGCUGAUCUCCCUGAGAGAGACAGUGUGAGCGGAGUGGAGUCAGGGGGAAGAAGGGAGGGAGUAAGUCAGCCAACGAACAACCAUUACACAACAGAGUCGAGCCCGAGAUGGUGAAGAGAGACAGUGGUGUAGAAAGGAAUUAUCUUAGCUCAAGUGAAAGUAGAGGACGGGGAAGAAAGACAGAAAAAGGAAGACAGAGCAACAAAGAGACUGCAAAAGCAAGAUCAGCAACAAAGUUAAUACGUCCAUCAACCCGAGUUUGAGCACUCGAGCACGUUAACUUUGUUCAGAGUCAGAGGGUAUAAGGGGAUCUGGAGAAGGAAGAGAUGGAAGCCGUGGAGAGAUGAGCACAGGACGGGAGAGGAGGGACACAAAGAGAGGAUGUGAGAGAGACGGGCAGCUCCAAAACGACUCUGUCCAGCCCGCUACGCACCGCUCGGAUCAGAACCACUGAGCCGUCCGGACCACACCACUCUGCAGACUGCCAAAACAACAGAACCAUGGUUAUUAUAUAUCAUGGAUCUACACAUAAUACACAUUUCACAUAUGCAUACAUUUAUCAGUGUGGACUAACAUAAAGACAUGGAAAGGAGAACAAACAAGUACAUCGCCAAGAGUUGAAGCUAAAUAACAUGAACUCCUCAUAACAUUGACACAAAUGAAUAGAAUACAAUGUAAAUAACAAGAAACUGACCUGCUGAGGAGGACUGAGCAGAGGAGGAGGGAUGGCAUCUCUCUCCCAUCCUCUAGGUGGAGCUGAAGGAGAACAAAUGGUCUGCGGGGCUGCGAUGUUCCCCCCCGGUAGUGUUUCUGCUCCUGGGUCCUGUGGUCGCAGAUGGAGGCGUCCUCCUGUCGCCUGGAAGAUCUCGUGUUGAUGUCUUCCAUUGAACUCUGGGUAAAAUCUGUGUCACUUCCUAUAUCCUGGUCUCUUUUGAGAGGUCUGGAAAGCAAAAGCACAAUUUUGAUAUAUUACAUAAAAAAAACUGCCAACAGUAAUACUGUGUUUUCUUUUCUUUUCUUAUUAUUCUGAUUUAUGAGUCGCCCAUAAGCUCUGAAAACAAACCCAAAUACAAUACAGUCUUGCCUAAAACAUGCAUGUGUUGAUUGAUAGGUUUUGAGGAAAUGGACUCUGCAAUAUGACAGGAAUUACAGUUAGUUAUUGUUUCAUGACCCUGAGAGGGCCAAAAAAUGUAUUUUCUUUGUAAAUACUUUUUUUGCAAUUAUUGCCUUCGCUUAUUUGAUAGAAUAACAGUAUAAGUAUAUAUUUUGGCUCGACCAAUACUAAAUAAAUACAAUGUUUGAUGAAUUAAUAAAAAAUAAUGCCCAUAUGGUGACAUCCAAUCCUCAAAUUGCUUGUUUUGUGGGACCUGCAGUCAUAAACCAAAUGAUGCAAAUGUCUCUACAAUUAUAUAUAUAUAUAAGCAUACUGAAUGUAAAAUAGAAAAUGUUCGACUUAGUCUUAAAUGAUUGCCUGAAUAUUAAAACUGUUUUUUUAAUUUAAACUAAUAAUCAAUUAAUCGACUAAUUGUUUCAGAAAAUAGGGAUGGAAAAGUUAAUGAGUAGUUUGAUUUCUCCCUAUGUAAUUACUGUCCAAUUGCUGUGAAUACCAUUUGAAGUGUUAAAGAUCCCAUGCCAUGCUUUAAGACCCGUACACACCUGUGUGUGUUAUGUAGCUUUUUAUGAAUGUAAACGGUCUGCAAAGUCACAAAUCCUCAAAGAACACCCUGUAGCGAGUACAACUCUAACACAGAAAAGACCUGCUA